rfam:Folsomia candida strain VT population Fcan01_Sc014, whole genome shotgun sequence.
GUGCCUAUGGCGCAGUGGACUAGCGCGUUGGACUUCUAAUCCAAAGGUCUCGGGUUCGAUCCCCGAUAGGCAUG